rnacentral:rRNA from 1 species
AUGAUGGUCUCCAUUGUAUCAACAACUCUGGCUCCAUACGUUCUUUUCGCCUUGCAAAAUUCUCUCCAUAAAUCCAUUUCGGUCAUUGUGUGGUAUCUUCAUCCUAUAUGUGUUCUUAUGCUCAUUCUGGCUGUUUAUAGUUACUUUGCAUUUACAUUUCGGUCAUUGCUCAUGAAGACUUGGUGGUGUACUUGGUUUUUUCUGCUGCGGCGGCCAAAAGAUCACAACAGCAUAAUGGUGGAAGAAAUGAGAUCCAGUGACUUUGUACUGAAAUUAAGGAACUUUACAAGAAAAGAAUGCACCUCAAUCAUAUUAGUGCUUGUUUGCAGCCAAUUCCCUCCUGUUGUUAUUAACUGA